rnacentral:rRNA from 1 species
CCUACGGGGCGCAGCAGUGGGGAAUAUUGCACAAUGGGGGAGACCCUGAUGCAGCGACGCCGCGUGAGUGAAGCAGUAUUUCGGUAUGUAAAGCUCUAUCAGCAGGGUAGAAAAUGCCGGUACCUGACUAAGAAGCCCCGGCUAACUACGUGCCAGCAUCCGCCGUAAUCAGGAGGGGGCACGCGUUAUCCGGAUUUACUGGGUGGAAAGGGAGCGUAGGCGGCAAGUUAAGCUCGAAGUGAAAGCCGUCGGCUAAACGGCGGGACUGCGUUUGGAACUAUCGAGCUAGAUUGCAGGAGAGGUAAGUGGAAUUCCUGGUGUAGCGGUGAAAUGCGUAGAUAUUAGGAGGAACACCAGUGGCGAAGGCGGCUUACUGGACUGUAAAUGACGCUGAGGCACGAAAGCGCGGGGAGCAAACAGGAUUAGAUACCCGAGUAGUC